rnacentral:rRNA from 1 species
UACGAAGGGGGCUAGCGUUGCUCGGAAUGACUGGGCGUAAAGGGCGCGUAGGCGGUUUGUACAGUCAGACGUGAAAUUCCUGGGCUCAACCUGGGGGCUGCGUUUGAUACGUAUGAGCUUGAGUUCGGAAGAGGGUCGUGGAAUUCCCAGUGUAGAGGUGAAAUUCGUAGAUAUUGGGAAGAACACCGGUGGCGAAGGCGGCGACCUGGUCCGAUACUGACGCUGAGGCGCGAAAGCGUGGGGAGCAAACAGG